ACCCUAUGUAUUAUAUUAUGGCAUAAUUAAAAUGAAAUCAAGGUGUUCAACAUUUAAGUCUAUACCACUUCUAGUUGGCUGUACAAUGUCUGCCAACCUUGUCAGAUUUUGAAGCUGUCAAUUAAUCAGUCAAUGAAAGUGUAAUGCUUCCAAAUAUAAGUAUUCGUGUAAAAUCACCCACGACUUGGCUAGGUCAGACAGCAAAGUGAGGGCGUGCAUUUCAGUAUUGAUAAGAGUAUGCCAGAAAGAUCUACCGCCUGUUUUGUGAUUGGUAUGGUGUUGGCGUACUACCUUGGUGGCCGCAAGUUAGAUUCUCGGCCAUUCCGUCGAGGUGUGAGAUUUGUAUUUCUGGUGAUAAAAGUUCACACCGAUGUGGUUCUGAAGUCACGUAAAGUCGGUUCCGUUGCUGAAUAAUCAGUUUUCAUGCAACUUAAAAUCACCAAACAAACAAGCACCAGCAAAAGAUCCCAUAGCAUGUAAACUUAACGGUUAUUUGAGCACGCUAUGAAUGUUUAGGGAAAUUAACAAUUGACCAGCAGUGGGCUUAUAAAGGUUAACAACUCGUUACUGUUGUCGAAGCCUAAAAAAAGUUGGUUACUAAAUUUUCGUGUGAUACAACUUUUAAAAAUACGUACCUUUUUACUGGUAAAGGUUAGUUCAGAUAACUUGACAUUCGCUGUCUGACCAUUUUCACUGAAACGCUGAUGGUUGGCUGUAAGAUGGGCCAGUUCUUUGCAUUGUACGGAUUUUCUGUGAAGUGAAUCCUUGAGGCCAAUUACAAGCGACGUAGCACUAAAUUAUAUUGAUGACUUAUUGCCGUUAAAAAUCUUUACGAUGGAUUUAGUGUAUUUAUAUUGCCCUAAAGGAUUUUAUUUAAAACAUUUUUUGGUCUAUUGCCCUUGGGGAUUUUUUUUAUUUAUUCUGGCUAUCAAUCACUCCAGGCAAACACCGUAAGCAUCCUGGUGGUCGUGGUAAUGUUGAUGGUCAACAUCACCUCAGAAUAAAGUAAUAAAUACCAUCCUGGUUACCUUGGGUUGGUAUGAGAAAUUUCCACGUUAGACCCAACCAGAAAUAGUGUCCCAUCAUUAACCUUGAUAAGAUUUGGUCUUUGGUAUCCACACAGACGAGAGUGCAGUAUAAAGAUCCCAGAAUUAGCAAAGGAAGGUCACCUGUUAUAAACUGUGAAAGUGGGAUACUAAGGUACUUGGGAAGGGAAAGCUCCCCAAGCAGCCAUUGAUUGUGAAGGCAAGAUUCUUCUCAAGAAAAGCUGAGCAAAAGAUUGAGUCAGUCGGUGGCUGUUGUGUACUAGUUGCAUAGUCAGCUGGAGCUCUGGAAGUUUUGCGGAAAAGGAUAAACGUUAUUUCCGUAUGCUUUGUUUCACUUAUUUGCAACCCAAAAAUAUAGGUGAUCUGGUGUACAGCUGUAUCAUAGGAUUUGUUCUAAGAGUGAGGUUAGCUCUUGUAAGUUGGCUUAAACUUUGAAUCUGGUAGGGAAUGGGACCCUAUGUAUUAUAUUAUGGCAUCAUUAAUAUGAAAUCAAGGUGUUCAACAUUUAAGUCUAUGCCACUUCUAGUUGGCUGUACAAUGUCUGCCAACCUUGUCAGAUUUUGAAGCUGUCAAUUAAUCAGUCAAUGAAAGUGUAAUGAUUCCAAAUAUAAGUAUUCAUGUAAAAACACCCAGAUGGUUACUUUCAGCACGACAUGGCUAGGUAGGUCAGGCAGCAAAGUGAGGGUAUGCAUUUUAGUAUUGAUAAGAGUACGCUAGAAAGAUCUAUUGCCUGUGUUGUGAUCGGUUUGAUGAUGGCGUACCACCUCGGUGACCGCAAGUUAGAUUCUCAGCCAUUCCUUCGAGGUGUGAGAUUUGUAUUUCUGGUGAUAGAAGUUCACUCCCUCACCCGUUGCUGAAUAAUCACUAGUUCCAUGCAACGUAAAAACACCAUACAAACAAACCGAUGUGGUUCUAAAGUCACGUAAAGUCUGUUCCGUUGCUGAAUAAUCACUGUUUCCAUGCAACGUAAAAUCACCAUACAAACAAACACUAGCAAAAGAUCCCAUAGCAUGUAAACCUAACAGUUAAAACAUUUGAGCACGCUAUGAAUGUUAGGGAAAUGAACGACUGACCAGCAGUGGGCUUAUAAAGGUUAACAACUCGUUACUGUUGUCGAAGCCUAAAAAAUAGUUAGUAGCUCUUAACUUUUCAUGUGAUACAACUGUUUUAAAAAUACCUUUUUACUGGUAAAGAUUACUUCAAACAACUUACAUAUGCUGUCCGACCAUUUUCACUGAAACGCUGUUGGUUGGCUGUAAGAUAGGCCAGUUCUUUGCAUUGUACGGAUUUUCUGUGAAGUGAAUCCUUGAGGCCAAUUACAAGCGAUGUAGCACUAAAUCUAUAUUGAUGACUUGUUGCCGUUAAAAAUUAUUACGGAACUAACUGUAAGUAAAACAAUAGUUUAGCGGAUUUAUAUUGCCCUAUGGGAUUUUAUUUAAAAGAUUUUUUGGUCUUUAUAUUGCCCUUGGGGAUUUUUAUAUAUAUAUUCUGGCUAUCAAUCACUCCAGGCAAACACCGUAAGCAUCCUGGUGGUCGUGGUAAUGCUGGUGGUCAACAUCACCACAAUAAACUUUGAUAAAUACCAUCUUGGUUACUUUGGUAAGUUAAGUCGAAGUUGGUAUUUUAUAUUAUAUGGUAAAUUUUACUGACACAUUGUGUUGUACUGUAAUUUAUGAUGUUAAAUUUGUUGAGAAAACCUCAGUAGUUAGAUCUGUUCCAAGCAGAGUUGUUAGCAUACCUGAUUGCAAUUUUGAACCUGAGCUGAUGCUUAGAGAAUGUGUGUGGAAGUCCAGAAGUUUACUGUAUUCUGUGUAAAUUCUAGUAAAUGAUUGUAUUUUGCAGGUUGGUAUGAGAAAUUUCCACGUUAGACCCAACCAGAAAUAGUGUCCCAUCAUUAACCUUGAUAAGAUUUGGUCUUUGGUAUCCACACAGACGAGAGUGCAGUAUAAAGAUACCAAAAUUAACAAAGGCAGGUCACCUGUUAUAAACUGUGUGAAAGCGGUAAGUGUAAAACUUGGGUUACUCUUGAGUGGUUGUACCAAUAUAUGUAGUAUGUUAAGUAAAAGCUCUUAGAUAUGUUUGAAAUUUUUACAUCUGUCCAAUAUAGUAGUGUUACAUAAGACUGCUGUAGACGUAUAUACAAACCACUGAAAUUAAUUUUAUAAUCUUAAAAUACGAGUGGCAACAUUUCAGUCAAAAUCCAAAUCAAGCAGGUUUAGAAAAAGUAAAUUGGAUUAGUAUGAAGGAAUAUUAUAAAGGGAAUGGAUAUAAAAGAAGAACUCCAGGUUGUGCAUCAUUUCUGGGACAAGCGGGAAGUACCUUUGAAUUCCCAGUGGUCCAGUCUCCAGUAGUAGGCAUUUCCUGGAUAGUAAAUAGGUGUAGACAGAUCAGAGGACACUUGUACACAACUCUGGUUUCACUGUAUACUAUGACUUUCAAAUAGAUGAAUGAGAUUGACAUUAAUUCAACUUGUAAUAGCAGACUUGGAGUGGUUAAGUUGUGAGGUUCCACAGUAGAUAUUGUUACAAAUUUUAUUUAAUGGCUUAAAACUUUUUUUGGGUGAUAAACAAGGCGGGGGGCUAUCUUAUGUAAGGCAAUUAGAAGGUUUAUGUCUUACUUUCAAUAUAUAUCCCCUCUGAAGAUCACUCAAAAUAUUUCUUCAUAAAGACAAAAAUUUCAUAGGUGUUUUGUGUUCUGAAGUGUUUGUUAUUUGUAUGAAAGUGUGGACAGAUUAUAAGUUGUUUAUCAUCACAAUACCUUGUUGAAGAAGAGCAAUUAUGUAAUGUUGAUUUGUUUGCUUGCGUUAUAUUAUGUAGUGAACAUGGUUGUGAUAAAAUAUUGUUUCUAUGAUGUUAACUAGAACGGGCGGUCAGACCUUUGUGUUGAGUGUUCUAUUCUGAGCAUAAUGAGAAGAAUCAUGAAAUAUUGCUGAUUGAAAAGAAGCAGCCAUUGAUUGUGAAGGCAAGAUUCUUCUCAAGAAAAGCUGAGCAAAAGAUUAAGUCAGUCGGUGGCUGUUGUGUACUAGUUGCUUAGUCAGCUGGAGCUCCGAAAGUAGUGCGGAAAAGAAUAAACGUUAUUUCCGUA